AAUAUCCACAUGAUAUGAAAUACCAAAGGGCUUGGCGUAAAAUUUAGGAGUAGAUUAGUGGGUGUGUGAGUUUGCCGUUCUAAAAAACACAUAUGAUAAGAAAUAGCCAUGUCAUCAGUGACUGAACAUACAUGCUGCUCUGAUUGUCAAGAAUUUGUUUCAGACGAUGGAGACAAGUGCUUACAGUCGAAUAAAGAGCGCGCUAAGUUCAUCAGUCAUACAAAGGGCCCGCAUAUUUUCUUUGAUAAGUUGUUUCACAGGAGAGACACUCCGAAUUCAAAUGUGCUAAGUAGUUACGAGGAGGCAACUCUCGAGUCAAUAAGGAACUGGGAAACCACAAAAGGGAAGCGGGCAGUUCUUUGUGGCGUGGCAUACAAUAAACAGAAGUAUAAACUUAAAGGAACUAAUUAUGAUGUGAUCAACAUGCGGGAAUUACUAGGUUCACAGUUUUGUUUUCCAAGUAGUUCUAUCCACAUUCUUAUAGAAAUGGACUCGCACCCGCAUCCAACAAAAAGGAACAUCCAAGAAGCUUUGAAGUGGCUUGUGAAGGACAACCAACCAGGCGACUCGCUGGUGUUCUAUUUCUCAGGUCAUGGCUUAAGGAAACCGGAUUUCUUUGAGGAUGAACUUGAUGGAUUUAAUGAAACAAUAUGUCCUGUAGAUUUUAGAACUGCAGGAAUGAUCACUGAUAAUGAUAUUAAUGACACUAUUGUUAGACCGCUCAAGAAUGGUGUCAAACUGCAUGCCAUUAUUGAUUCUUGUCACAGUGGAACAAUUCUUGAUCUACAAGAUGUCUAUAGCACAAAAAAGAAACUUUGGUUAGAUAAUAGCUCUCCAUCUGGUGUUUAUAAAGGAACUAGUGGUGGACAUGCCAUUUCUAUCAGUGCAUGUGAAGAUAAUCAACUUGCUGCAGAUACAUCUGCUUUCUCAGACUGCGGAAAGCAGAUGGAAGGAGCCAUGACAUACACAUUUAAGAAAGCACUUAUGGAGAAGCCACGUGUGAGUUAUGCUGGUCUCCUGGCUUCAAUGCAUAAAGACAUUUUGACUGCUAAGGAAAAAGGUUUCAGUCUUCGGGGACUGUUUCAUCGCCAAAGACUACAGGAACAGAGGCAGGGAUUUGUUCGAAAACGACCUUGUUUCUCAUCCUCCAAAUACUCCAAAGGUACACAAGUGUAAUGGCAUGUAUCAAUUUCUUUUUUUGGAAGAUCCGGACACCAGUUCAUUAAUUUGAAUUAGAUCCAUUAUGCCAAAGAUGAAGAAAUUUGGAAUCUUACACCAUUGUGAAAUAACGGACCAUACCAUUUGGGCAAACUGGCACGACACGAAUAGGUGCUCACUUGUUUCUAGAACUUCAUUGCAGAGGGGACAGGUUGUCGAAGCCAGAUGGAUUCCUUUUAACUGUAGUGCACUUCUUGUCGGCAACCUUUCCACCAUCGCCCGCCAACCUACUACACCAACCUUUUUGGCAUCCAAUUAUUCCAUUUGAAUAUUGCACUCGGCGGAGACCUAUUAGUAGAGAGAACAUGUUGUUUGAUGGUAGCGACCGAGAAAUUCCCGUUCGGAUCAAGACCCCAUAUCCAAUGAUCUUUUUUAUCGACACACUUAAUUCCCGUAAGCUUCUGUACAAGUUGCUACAAUUCCGUUAUUUCUUCCACCGAGGCCGGUUCGCGGUUCCAAACCCACGAUAGUGUGACCUCUAACGUAGUGUUAACAACUCGGGCCGAUACUGUGCACAUUUUUUCAGACUCAAUGUUAAACAAACCUGGGAACUCCUAAGCCAGUGGUAAUUCUCCAAGCCAUGUAUCUAACCAAAAUAAUAUAUCAACUCCAUUUCCAGGCACUCCUUUUAUUUGGUUUGUUAAACUCAAAUUCGAACUUUCUAAGUCGGCCGAGAUAUUCCGAGUUUGUUUCCAUGGUCCGGGUAGCGAUAGCUUGGCUGGAAUGUAGUUCCAUGAUCUCAACUUGUUAUGGAUCACCCAAAUUACCUUUCUCCACAAUCCAUCUUUCUCCACCUUGAACCUCCACCACCAUGCAUAGCAAGACUAGUGUCUUUUAGAGACCCGAAACCUACCCCACCAUAUUCGACCAGGGCUAUAACCUUCUCCCAAGCGAUCCAAUUUCCUUUAUUUUUAUCUUCUGUACCACUCCAAAAAAAUGAUCUCCGAAUACUCUCGAGUUCUUUAAUUACUUGAACCGGGGCCUUGUAUAAUGAGAAAUAAUAGUUCUGAAGCGAAUUAAGAACUGACUUUAUGAGUGUGAUUCUUGCACCAUAACAAAGGGUUUUCCCUUUCCAUAUGGACAACUGAUUCUUAAACACUUCUAAAGCCGGUUUCCAGCUUUUUAUUAAAUUCAUAUUGCCUCCAACUUGUAGGCCUAGGUAUUUAAAUGGGAAAUGAUCCAACCUUACAUCCUAAUACAUUAGCCAUAACCUCAGCUUCGUUGUGCUCUACUCCCACGCCGAAAAUAUUACUUUUUCCAAGGUUUACCUUAAGUCCCGAUGUCAGGAAAAAACAUCUAAGAAUUCUCCUUAAGUUUUUUGCAUUCUCUACCGACCAUUUCCCGAGGAAAACGACAUCGUCCGCAUAGAGUAAGUGAGUUAAAAUUGGCCCAUUCGUUGAACAUUUAAUGCCUUGAAAGAGCCCACUCGAGGAGGCCUUGUGCAUAAUACCUGUUAAUGCCUCCAUCGCCAUGAGGAAUAAGAACGGGGAUAAUGGGUCACCCUGACGGAGACCGUGUGUGCAAUUCAAUUCCAAAGUGGGAGAUCCAUUUACAAGUACGGAGGCCCGAGAAGAUCGAAGAAUAACCAUAAUCCACAUACACCACCUCGGCGGAAAUUUCAUUUGAACCAUGAUGGAAUGAAGGAAUUCCCAAUUAAGCGAGUCAUAGGCCUUGUGAAUGCCAACUUUGAAAAACAUACCUUCCUUCCGAGCCAUUUUCAUCCAAGCCAAAACCUCGUUCAGCAUAAGUGGACCGUCUGUAAUAUUCCUUCCGCCUAAGAACGCCGUUUGCUCCUCCGAGAUCAGUUUCCCGAUCACCCCUUUAAGGCGAUUAACUAAAACUUUGGAUAUAACUUUGUUGACACAGCCAAUCAAGCUAAUAGGCCUAAAAUCCGCGGGUUGUAACGAGUCCUUUUUUUGGAAUAAGGGCAAUAAAUGACGACGAGCAACACCUAUUAAUAUUUCCAUUAACAUAGAAUUCUUCUAGUAAAUUAAUGAAAUCGUUUUUCAAACCUUCCCAACACCGCUUUAUGAACCGAAAAUUAAACCCGUCUGGGCCAGGUGCUCGGUCACCGUCACAUUCCCAUAUGGCAUUUUUAAUUUCCAGCAAUGUGAAUGGAGCCUCGAUAGCUUCGGCUUUGACCUGCGACAACGUUUUCAAAUUAGGGCAAUCUAACUUCGGGCGAAUAGGCAUGGGUUCCGAAAAAAGUUUAGCAUAAAACUCAAAGAAUUGUUGUUUUAUGAUAACUGGAUUCGUGACCCAUUCCCCAUCCAUUAAAACACCAUUAAUUCUACUGGAACUGAUGUUCGAUUUAACCACCGUGUGGAAGAAAUUGGAAUUUUCAUCCCCUUCUAGGGCCCACCUCGCCCUAGAUUUUUGACGGAUAUCAAUCUCUCUUAGGCGGUCAUACUCCCAUAUGAACUGUUUGUACUCAAAUCUGGUUUCCAAUUCGGUCGGAGAGAGUUCCCUAUUUUCAGCAAUCAGCUCUAGUCGAGCAACCAGUCUUCUUUUUUCUUUAUACGUCUCCUCCCCCUAGCACUGUCAUCCUUAAUUCGAUACUUGAGCCAUCUCAACUUUGUAGCUAGCCGAAUGUCGGCCGGUCCAUUAAACUUAAAAAACCUACACAAAGACAUUACAUACUCCAAAAAACUCGGACGUUCGAACCACAAGUUGAAGAACCUAAAAGGGAUAUGUCUGAAAUAUGACUGAUGACAUUGAGAAGUAAAGGUCGAUGGUCAGAGAUAUAUCUUUCCAAAGCUGUUAGGGCUGUAGCUGGCCAUUUCUCAAUGAAACAAAGACAAACUAAAAUCCUGUCAAUUCGACUCAAUUUAUCCCUAUGUCUGAUAUACAUGAGAACUGAGCUCCUCCCAUAGGCAUAUCAUGUAACACACCAGACAAAAUAAAAUCAUUAAAAGCCUUGGCAUUAGAUACGUUGAACUCGGAAUUUACCCUUUCGUUCGAUGCCCGUACCUCAUUGAAAUCACCCAAAAAUAUCCAAAGCCCCUGUCUAGAAUUUUUUAAGUGUAGAUCAAACCAUAACAAUUUACGGGUUGGAGGAUCAUUAGGAGCGUAAACAUUAACUAUAUUCAGGCUUACCUUGGACUAUACAAGCCUACCACAGACACAUAGUAAGUAACGAGAUUGAAUUACCUCAGCACCGGAGAACACCGACGGGUCCCACAAGGAAGCGAUACCACCCGAACUCCCUAUAGCGUCACCUGUUGCAAUUUGAAAAGCCGAUUCGCCCCAAUAGCCGCUGAAUUGAAACUUGUCGAAAUUAUCCAAUUUCGUCUCUUGUAUUACGAUAAACUGAACCUCGUAACUAGUCUUCAGACCCCUAAUCGAUUCCACCUUCCGAUUGUUCCGGACGCCACGUAGAUUAAUAGAUAGACAAUUCAUUGAUUAUGAUUUUCGGCACCUUCACCAAUAAUUACCUCCUCUGUAUCCUUCUCAAAACCGGCCAGAUUGAUUCCAAUUGCAGCCGCAACCUGCGCUGUCGCCGUGAGUUCGACUUCAACUUUCGUCUGUUGCUUCUGCUUUUGGGCUUGACACGCGUCCCCGGGGUCUGGUUCAAGCUCGACAUUGGCAUCCACAUUAGGGGUCGGAGGAACCAACGUUGAACCUUCUGAGGAGUCUCCAGUGUUGCAACUUCUAGAACUUGCUGUUACAUUAAGGUCAAAAUGGGCCAUCUGUGGAGUGUCACCAUAAUAUGCCCUGGUAAGUGGGCCUUGAGUUGAGCCCACAGAAGGUGGGCUGCGUUGGUUUCGUAAUCUUUUGCCAAGGGUUGAGUUGUGGAGAGGCCCAUUGUGACUAGAAGGCUCACCUGUCAUGGGAUUAUCCAACAUACAAUUAUUACACUAGCGUCCACUAGAAUUACCUACUGGUGUGGUCUUGGUAUUGGCACCAUCCUCAACAGCUUGGCUCAGUAUACGAAGCGGCGUAGUAGAGUUCCCGUGCAAAUUUCCGGCUCCAACAUCGGGACUAGCUGGCACCUCUUGGGAUUCCGAUGUCGGAAUUCCCCCCAUCUCCUGGUCGUCCGACCUAGUUUCUUCACCAGAUUUCUUCCAUUCUCCUUCUUCAGCGUCAUCGUCCACCAGAAUCGGAUCAGCCUCAUCCGUACCACAAUCCGAAUCCUCCUCCAUGCCAUACAUGCCAAAUUCUGGUUCCCAAGCUAUUGCAUCUUCAGAGACCCAUAUCUUAUAUGGCUUGCCUUUCCAUGUAAUCAAUACCUCCUCUUCUAUACAUCUAGGAGAACUGGAUAAAAUGAGGCAUGAUCCUGUAGAGACGUUGGUUUGAUCCCAUGAGAAAUCCGACUCUUGCACCACAUCUCCAAACAAUGCUCCGAUUAUAUCAAACACUGUGUUAUCACAUUGUACAAUUGGCACAUCUUGGAUUUUUAGCCUGACCACUCGGUUGAACUCCAUCUCUUCCCCUUCCCAGACUUUUACUUUUGUGAAGAUGGUACUCUAUAUCGACCUCCCUUCAUUAACAAACCUAUUAGCUGUAGCACGAUCAUGGAAAGUAACCAAUAUUACCAAACAUCCUACAUAUGAUAUGUUAAAAUUUGAAAAACCCUCGUUUCUUAUUGCUGGAUCCACUUCAUUAAAUGCUCUAACAUUCCUUGUCACUCCAAGAAUCGACCUCCCCAAACAAUGGUUAGGGUAUAUUGCCCCAUGACCGUCCAGCUAAAUGGAUUUCCCACUAUUGUUUGUGCCCGAACCUCUCACCAUAUCAGCGUACAUCACUCCUGGUUUCGUCCCACUAGCACCCGGUGGAAAGCUAGGUUUCGGGACCCAUCUCGUUUGGUUACUGGUAGCACCCAUCUGGUGGAAAGGCCCCGGGGGAUCGAGAUCAUGGUGGUUUAUCUUCUAGUGGUCCUUGUCAUACUUUGCUAAAGAGACUAAUACUUUUGCAUCAUAGAUAGUGACUGUGUUCAUGUUCCUCAGCAACCCUCGUAUAUCUGUAACCCCCACAUACCGGAUGAAUCUGAAGCAAUUUCCUCGAGAAUCUCUUGUCUUCGCAACAUAUGCAUCAGAUACAAAACCAUACGGUUGAAACGCUUUUCCCAGAAGUGACUUGACUUGGACGUCCUGCCAGGCAGGUUUGCCACGUAGAAGGUAAUCUCCUUCUCGUUACGCCUUCGCUGUUUCCGAUAGGUUACGUCAUGCCAUUGUUCAUCUCCUCCACCCCACAUCUUUGCUACUUUACUUUUUUAAACACCAAGUUCAGUUAGCCAGUUCAAGGAUAUUCAGCAUCUAUAUCGAAGUGAGAAAAGUCUAACUGCAGAAAUCACAGAGCUUUAAGAGGUUAAUAGGAUUCGUAUUGAUCAAGCUGGACUAUAAAGAUAGCCGCGACCAAUAACAGACCUACUAAGCAAUCAAGGCCGGAUUUUGCAAGAAAGACGCCAAGGUAUCAGGAGCCUGUAUUAUCAUCUUCCAAAGUUUUUGAUGUAAAUGAGCCCUUUGUGCUCUAACUCUUUCUUACCACAUCAAGGACCUUUCACUUGCAUUGGGAUCACCUCUGUCCCUUCUUUGGCAAUGCCCUUUUCUUUGCUUUUUUCAUGUUUGUUUUGUUUCAAUUAUAUAUGGGUUAUUGGAUUUUAAUAAUUCUAAGUUUCACCUGUUGGCCGAUAAUGUGACAACUGUCAAAAUUCCGGGUAUCCUUACAAUUAUUAAACAAUGAUUAGUGCUUAAUGAC